UCCGGAGGAUCCACGCGUUAUCCGGAUUUAUUGGGUUUAAAGGGUGCGUAGGCGGCCUGUUAAGUCAGGGGUGAAAGACGGUAGCUCAACUAUCGCAGUGCCCUUGAUACUGAUGGGCUUGAAUGGACUAGAGGUAGGCGGAAUGAGACAAGUAGCGGUGAAAUGCAUAGAUAUGUCUCAGAACACCGAUUGCGAAGGCAGCUUACUAUGGUCUUAUUGACGCUGAGGCACGAAAGCGUGGGGAUCAAACAGG
rnacentral:rRNA from 1 species